rnacentral:rRNA from 2 species
AGUCGUAACAAGGUAUCCCUACCGGAAGGUGGGGAUGGAUCACCUCCUUUCU